rnacentral:rRNA from 1 species
AGCGAACGCUGGCGGCAGGCCUAACACAUGCAAGUCGAACGAACUCUUCGGAGUUUGUGGUGGACGGGUGAGUAACACGUGGGAACGUGCCUUUAGGUUCGGGAUAAUUCAGGGAAACUUGUGCUAAUACCGCAUGUGCCCUUGGGGGGUAAGAUUUAUCGCCUUUAGAGCGGCCCGCGUCUGAUUAGCUAGUUGGUGAGGUAAAGGCUCACCAAGGCGACGAUCAGUAGCUGGUCUGAGGGGAUGAUCAACCACAUUGGGACUGAGACACGGCCCAAACUCCUACGAAAGGCAGCAGGGGGGAAUCUUGCGCAAUGGGCGAGAGCCGGACGCAGCCAUGCCGCGAGAAUGAUGAAGAACUUAGGAUUGGAAAAUUCUGUCACCAGUGACGAUAAUGACGGUACCCGGAGAAGAAGCCCCGGCUAACUUCGUG